rnacentral:rRNA from 1 species
GACGAACGCUGGCGGCGCGCCUAACACAUGCAAGUCGAACGGAGCUUAGAGAGCUUGCUUUUUAAGCUUAGUGGCGAACGGGUGAGUAACGCGUGAGUAACCUGCCCUAGAGUGGGGGACAACAGUUGGAAACGACUGCUAAUACCGCAUAAGCCCACGGUACCGCAUGGUACUGAGGGAAAAGGAUUUAUUCGCUUUAGGAUGGGCUCGCGUCCAAUUAGCUAGUUGGUGAGGUAACGGCCCACCAAGGCGACGAUUGGUAGCCGGACUGAGAGGUUGAACGGCCACAUUGGGACUGAGACACGGCCCAGACUCCUACGGGAGGCAGCAGUGGGGGAUAUUGCACAAUGGGGGAAACCCUGAUGCAGCGACGCCGCGUGGAGGAAGAAGGCUUUCGGGUUGUAAACUUCUUUUAAGAGGGAAGAGCAGAAGACGGUACCUCUAGAAUAAGCCACGGCUAACUACGUG